GACGAACGCUGGCGGCGUGCCUAAUACAUGCAAGUUGAGCGCUGAAGGUUGGUACUUGUACCGACUGGAUGAGCAGCGAACGGGUGAGUAACGCGUGGGUAAUCUGCCUUUGAGCGGGGGACAACAUUUGGAAACGAAUGCUAAUACCGCAUAAAAACUUUAAACACAAGUUUUAAGUUUGAAAGAUGCAAUUGCAUCACUCAAAGAUGAUCCCGCGUUGUAUUAGCUAGUUGGUGAGGUAAAGGCUCACCAAGGCGAUGAUACAUAGCCGACCUGAGAGGGUGAUCGGCCACAUUGGGACUGAGACACGGCCCAAACUCCUACGGGAGGCAGCAGUAGGGAAUCUUCGGCAAUGGACGAAAGUCUGACCGAGCAACGCCGCGGGAGUGAAGAAGGUUUUCGGAUCGUAAAACUCUGUUGGUAGAGAAGAACGUUGGUGAGAGUGGAAAGCUCAUCAAGUGACGGUAACUACACAGAAAGGGACGGCUAACUACG
rnacentral:rRNA from 1 species